rnacentral:rRNA from 1 species
GAUUCCCCUAGUAACUGCGAGUGAAGAGGGAAGAGCUCAAAUUUAAAAUCUGGCGGUCUCUGGCUGUCCGAGUUGUAAAUUAGAGAAGUGUUAUCCGCUCAAGCCUGUGCAAAAGUCUCUUGGAAAAGGGCAUCAUAGAGGGUGACAAUCCCGUCUUUGGCACAGAUCACUUGCGCUUUUGUGAUGCGCUCUCGAUGAGUCGAGUUGUUUGGGAAUGCAGCUCUAAAUGGGUGGUAAAUUCCAUCUAAAGCUAAAUAUGGGCGAGAAACCGAUAGCGAACAAGUACCGUGAGGGAAAGAUGAAAAGCACUUUGAAAAGAGAGUCAAACAGUAGUGAAAUUGUUGAAAGGGAAACGCUUGAAGUCAGUCGUAUCCUUCAGAAAUCAACCUGACCUUUGGCUGGGUGCAUUUUUUGUUGGAUGGGUCAGCAUCAAUUUUGAUCAUUGGAUAAAGGACUUGGGAAUGUGGCAUCUUUGGAUGUGUUAUAGCCUCUGUUUGUAUACAAUGAUUGGGAUUGAGGAACUCAGUGUGACUUUGGUUUGGAGGUAUUGCACCUCACACACGCACUUAGGAUGCUGGCAUAAUGGCUUUAAUCGACCCGUCUUGAAACACGGACCAAGGAGUCUAACAUGCAUGCGAGUGUUUGGGUGGAAAACUCAAGCGCGCAAUGAAAGUGAAAGUUGAGAACCCCUUUGGGGUGCAUCGACGCCCGGACUUGAUCUUUUGUGACGGACCUGCGGUAGAGCAUGUAUGUUGGGACCCGAAAGAUGGUGAACUAUGCCUGAAUAGGGUGAAGUCAGAGGAAACUCUGAUGGAAGCUCGUAGCGAUUCUGACGUGCAAAUCGAUCGUCAAAUUUGGGUAUAGGGGCGAAAGACUAAUCGAAC